rnacentral:misc_RNA from 1 species
CCUCACCCAGUCUCCGCUGCUCUUAGCCCCCUCUCUCUCACAGGCACUCUCCCUCGCUCUCGCUUGGGCACACACGCACGCGCACACGCCGCCCCUGCUCCUCUCCACACAAGCCUUGCACACGCAAUACACCGCACUCAUCAUGCCGCCGAAGGCUCGUGCCCCUCUGCCGCCUGGCGACGUGGAGCGCGGCGAGAAGCUGUUCAAGGGCCGUGCUGCCCAGUGCCACACCGCCACCAAGGGCGGCGCGAACGGUGUGGGCCCGAACCUGUUCGGCAUCGUCCACCGCCCCUCCGGCAAGGUCGAGGGCUUCACGUACAGCAAGGCGAACGCCGAGUCAGGCGUAGUCUGGACGCCGGAAGUGCUGGACGUGUACCUGGAGAACCCGAAGAAGUUUAUGCCUGGCACGAAGAUGUCGUUUGCCGGCAUCAAGAAGCCGCAGGAGCGCGCUGACGUGAUCGCGUACCUCGAGACUCUCAAGUAAGACGAGGACACCGCAUUCGCCAUCAGGAGCCGAGAGCGUAGAAUCAUCCUCAAGGAGCCACGUCCGCGGCCACGGCGGUGGCACGGCCGCUUUCUGGCCUUCUUCUUGGCCUAAUGUGCCGUAAACUACACCUGCGGCUCUCUCGCUAUUUCCUGCAUCAGCCUCCACCGCAAUGUGACGGCUGUGCAGAGCCUUCCGAUGCAUGGAGUAGAGCAAGUCUAUAUGUGUGCGCGCAUCUGUAUUAUACGCGCGUGCGCGUGGUUACGCCUCCGCACUGGUCUAUACACCAUGUGUGUCUGUGUCUGUCUGCCUGUCGCUGUGUGUGUGAUGUCUGUUCCGCCUCGUCCUCUCGCUCGCUCAACACGGGCGGUUGUGUAAGCGAUGCACAGUUCUUUGCGCACACACCGAUACGCACAGGCGCGCGUGGAAAGAAGGAGAGUCGAAAAAAAGGGUGAGUGGGGGGUAGGCGAGGGAGAAAGGAUAGUGGAAGCGACGUGACGUGUUUGGGCGGGGGAAAGACACAAGCUCAUGCACACAAGCGCAUACACGCACACACACACACAGCCCGCAUCGCCUUGCUUUCUUUUUGCUCUCCUACCACUCCCUCCUUGAGGGCCCCCCCUCCUCCUUCCCACCCUCCCUCGUACCCCUCUUUUCCUCUUCCUCUCUCUGUUGGUCCGGCGUCCGUCACGCAUGCGCAACUCCCGCCGUAUGAGGCUUUAAGUAAUGAACGUCAGCUAACCCAAGAAGGGUUGAAGGUGGAAAGAAAGGGGCGAUGAAAGGCGAACGCCACCAGCAAGAGCGGAGCGGCAGGGUUGCCGCCUCAACGUAGCACAAGAGAAGACGGAAGAUGACAAGAGUGAGGCUUGGCGUAGCGCACCCACGGAAACAGGGACAUGCACGUAAGGCUGAGCUGAAAAAGCGGGUACGUGUGCGUGCGUCAGGACAAGGGUGAAGUCAAAGAAGAGAGAAAGGCGUCGUUGUGUUGUCCUCACUUGGACUGCAGCCGCAAGCACGUUGUUGUCGGCCAUGCCGGUCUCCAAUCCUCUCUCUACCCUCCGGGGCCCCUUUCUCUGUCCUUUGCACUCGAUAUUCUCGUUAGUCGGAAGAGUUGAGCGCCGGUCGGGGUUGCUGUUGCGGCGGUGGUCCGCCUCGACCACCAUCGUGCACCCAGCUCCUUUCCGUGUCACGCCUCGCCUGUGUCGUGGGCCUGCUGUGCGCUCAUGUCGCUCACCUCCUUCUUCGUGUUGCCCCUCCCCCUCCCCUCCUCCCUCCUCUCAGCCAUUUUCUAUUGGAUUAUCCUUUUGUUUCGCUCCCUUGUGUGCACGUCAGCCUGCGUACCGGACUUCGCGGCCACCCCUGCCAUUCUCACAUCGUCACUCACCAUCAGCGAGGCAACGCGCAAGUGCGCCCGUUCCCGAGCAUCGCUCUCGCUUCCACAUGUACGUGCGUGUCAGGUGUAUUGUGUGCGGUUCCCUGCUUAUCUAGCUGCCUCUCACGAGACCUUCCGUGUGCAUCGUCAUCUCGUCCGCCUUUCCUGUUUCUUGUUCGCCUUACUUUAUGUGUUGCGAGAAGAAGUACAUGCACGCACCACCGUCACCCACCUACCCACCCACCCUCCCGCGUGCUUCUCUCUGUCUCUGUCUCUUUCGCCCACUCCCCGUCCCCACCCCUCCUCCGCCUGUGUCUCGCGGCGCAUGUUCCUGAGAAAGCGAGCUCGAGCAAACAGAGAAAGAGCGAGCGAGCCUGGUGUCCGUCAGCUUCUGGUGCUUCCCGCCUCCCCCCCCCUCCUCCUCUCUCCCCCUCCUACACCUGUCACCCUUCUUUCGUCGCUGUUGAUAUUUCCCUUCCUCGCUCACCGCCUUAGUAGUCGUUAGUCCCUUAUUCCUCGGAUUCUUUGAUUGGGUCGCGUUGCGUUCUUUUUUUUUUGCGUGUAGCUCGGCUCGUCUCUCGCCGUGUGUCCUCGACGCGUGGGUGCGUGGCACUCCCUCCACGCCCCUCUUCGUGUGUCCUCUCCCGAUACGUGCUC